rnacentral:lncRNA from 1 species
AAUUGGCAAACAUUUUCUCUAAAGCUCAACACAGUAAAUAUUUUAAGCUUUACAGGGCCAUCCCAAACAGGUGCUGGACCAGACCGGGACUCCCUGGGGCCACAGAGCUUCAUUUGAACUAAGUAGAAGACUGCUCUGGUUAGGGAGGCAAUCGGUAAAGAAAAUGAAGCAUCCAUCUAGCAUCAUCCCACUGGGAGGAAAGAAGGAGACCAAAAGAAGGUAAACAAUAGCAAAAAAAUCUCUGAAGGGGUAAAUCAAGAUGGAGUUGAUGGAUAAGGGGGAAUAAAACUACUCCAAUUAUCUGGAAGUUACGCUAAAUGAAAAGCAAGUCUCCAAGAUAGAAGCUGAGCAUGACAAACAAAUGCUGACAAUAUCAGGUAGUGCUUCAGUUCAACAAUGAGGGAUUCUUUCUCCCACAACUUCCCUACUCCAGGAACUUGGAAAGUGGAUCAUCUCUGACAGCUAAAUUCCAAAACAAACAUUUAGCAGAUUGGAACAUAAUUA